UACGUAGGGUGCGAGCGUUGUCCGGAAUUAUUGGGCGUAAAGGGCUCGUAGGCGGUCUGUCACGUCGGGAGUGAAAACCCAGGGCUCAACCCUGGGCCUGCUUCCGAUACGGGCAGACUAGAGGUAUGCAGGGGAGAAUGGAAUUCCUGGUGUAGCGGUGAAGUGCGCAGAUAUCAGGAGGAACACCAAUUGCGAAGGCAGCUCGCUGGGACGUUACUGACGCUGAGACGCGAAAGCGUGGGGAGCAAACAGG
rnacentral:rRNA from 1 species